AGGUCCGCGCUCUGGGGGGCGGCGGGAGAGGGGCGCGCUAGCUGGGGGGCAGGCUGGGCGGUGCGAGUAGCGGCCGUGGACGCAAGGUCUCCGCCUUCUUUUUUUUUUUUUUUUUUAAAGAUUUUAUUUAUUUAUUUGAGAGAGAGAAUGAGAUAGAGAGCAUGAGAGGGAGGAGGGUCAGAGGGAGAAGCAGACUCCCUGCCGAGCAGGGAGCCCGAUGCGGGACUCGAUCCCGGGACUCCAGGAUCAUGACCUGAGCCGAAGGCAGUCGCUUAACCGACUGAGCCACCCAGGCGCCCCCUGGUCUCCGCCUUCUUGCCCUUACACGGCGACCCGGAGCCUGCGCGACGUGGGUGCACGGGAGGCGGUGGGGCUGCCCUCCACCUCUGCUGCUCCGGGACUGAGCGCUUCAGCCGUGCAUCGGCUUCAGUUCGGUGACUCUGGAGCCUUAAAGGACUUGGUGAUGGAGUUGAAGCCCUUCAUUGUGCAGACGAAGGAGACCCAGGGAGGAAGUGGAGAGACUGAUUUUGGACCCCAGAUUAAGAACCUAAAUAAGAAGCUCUUCACAGUGGUUGCGUGGGAUCCUCGAGGGUAUGGACACUCCAGACCCCCAGAUCGAGAUUUUCCAGUGGACUUUUUUGAAAGGGAUGCAAAAGAUGCUGUUGAUUUGAUGAAGACGCUGAAGUUUAAGAAGGUGUCCCUGCUGGGCUGGAGUGAUGGCGGCAUUACAUCUCUUAUUGCAGCUGCAAAAUAUCCAUCGUUCAUCAACAAGAUGGUGAUCUGGGGAGCCAAUGCCUACGUGACUGAUGAAGAUGAGAAGAUUUAUCAGGGUAUCCGAGAUGUUUCUAAAUGGAGUGAGAAAACAAGAAAACCUCUAGAAACCUUAUAUGGCUAUGACUACUUUGCCAAAACCUGUGAGAAGUGGGUGGAUGGCAUAAAACAAUUUAAACGUCUUCCAGAUGGGAAUAUCUGUGGGCACUUGCUGCCGCUGAUUCAGUGCCCCACCUUAAUCGUGCACGGAGAGAAGGAUCCGCUGGUCCCACGGUUCCACGCCGACUUCAUACACAAACACGUGAGAGGGUCGCGCCACUAAAGAAAAUGUAGAACUCAAAGAAGACUGCCUAUAUUCAAGAAAUUGCAAACCAGCCACAUUUGACCAAAAGCUUAUGACAGAAGUCUUAGGAGUAGUGAGGUUUGCCACAAGACAUGCACAAAGGGUUGCUGAGGCUAGCUCCAGCUGCCCCCAAGGUCCCCAGGAACACUUACGUGCCCUUUGUCUGCUGGCUAAUAUUCAGAUUCCUUCAAUCCUCCAAAAGUGACAAGGUUGCAUCUGAUACGAGAAGGCAAGCACAACCUACAUUUACGUUUUGCAGAUGAAUUCAGUAAGUUAGCAGAAGACUUCUUACAGGGCAAAGGCCCCUGAGAACGGCAGGGACCUGGGGAUUCCUCACUGUGGGGCUUGAGCCUGUUGCUGCCUUUGAAACGCACUGCAGUCCCUCCGUAGCUCCCCUGCCUUCCCAUGCUUUCUCCUCCUCCCCGCAGACUGCUCCCGGCCAAAAGGAAGUAAUUCAUAUUAAAACGUCUUCCAGCUCUAAGUGCUACAGAAAUUAAAGCUGAUUUUUUUUAACAGUGAAGUUGUGAAUGUCUACCAUUGGCUUAAAAAUUGAAUUCUGAUUCUGUUUUACUUUCUCGCCAGUGAAUCUUAGCUGAAGCAUUUGGAGUAUUUAUGACUGUGAUUUCAGGGUAUCCUGAAUCUAGAAUUAUGCUGUCCCUUUUAUCUGAGAGGUACAAGCUUUCGCUGGUCUUUUUACUUGAAUUUAUCAUGGUUCAAAGUAGAGAAACAGAAGAAAAUCCUUGCCUAGGGCCCUUGAUCCCACAUUUUCACAAGAGUUGCUGGAACUACAGUAAAUAAGGUAGGAAGGUUUGCUUUGUCCUUAAAUCUCUAUUUCUUCCACAUGUUUCCUGGAUUCAUUUACUUUAAUACUCGGGGCCCGUGAAGAUGAAGAACUGUCUUUUUAUCUGUCUUCACUAACAGAGCAGAAAAGGCUAUUAAUUAAAAACAUUAAAGCAGAAAUCCUAGUUUGUUAAAGUCACUAAACCCAGAAACAUAUUUAAGAAGCAUUCAGUGAAAGAAUAAAAAUUGCCUGAAAUGAAAUUAAGGAGACCACACAGUUUUGGACACAUGCUUUUUUAUUAGUAUAGAUAUCUUAGACAAUACUGUGAUUUUUUAGGAGUUUCACAUUAUUACAUCAACAGUGUGAAUUUCUGACAGAGGCAAAACGGAGCACCAUAGUAUACAAAUAGACCAUGCUUGAUUGAGGACAACAGAAGUUCACUAAAGAUGCACGAUUUAUUUGAGAAGUUCUUAAGCCUCAUCCUCGCCCUCCUCCUCCUCGAACUCCCCCUGUUCGUCGGCCGUGGCGUCCUGGUACUGCUGGUACUCGGACACCAGGUCGUUCAUGUUGCUCUCGGCCUCGGUGAACUCCAUCUCAUCCAUGCCCUCGCCCGUGUACCAGUGGAGGAAGGCCUUGCGCCGGAACAUGGCCGUGAACUGCUCCGAGAUGCGCUUGAACAGCUCCUGGAUGGCCGUGCUGUUGCCGAUGAAGGUGGCCGACAUCUUGAGGCCGCGCGGCGGGAUGUCGCACACGGCCGUCUUGACGUUGUUGGGGAUCCACUCGACGAAGUAGCUGCUGUUCUUGUUCUGCACGUUGAGCAUCUGCUCGUCCACCUCCUUCAUGGACAUGCGGCCGCGGAAGAUGGCGGCCACGGUCAGGUAGCGGCCGUGGCGCGGGUCGCAGGCGGCCAUCAUGUUCUUGGAGUCGAACAUCUGCUGCGUGAGCUCGGGCACCGUGAGGGCCCGAUACUGCUGGCUGCCGCGGCUGGUGAGCGGCGCGAAGCCGGGCAUGAAGAAGUGCAGGCGCGGGAAGGGCACCAUGUUCACGGCCAGCUUGCGCAGGUCGGCGUUCAGCUGGCCGGGGAAGCGCAGGCAGGUGGUGACGCCGCUCAUGGUGGCCGACACCAGGUGGUUGAGGUCUCCGUACGUGGGGGUGGUCAGUUUCAGGGUGCGGAAGCAGAUGUCGUACAGGGCCUCGUUGUCGAUGGAAUAGGUUUCAUCGGUGUUCUCCACCAGCUGGUGCACCGACAGGGUGGCGUUGUAGGGCUCGACCACCGUGUCGGACACCUUGGGCGAGGGCAUGACGCUGAAGGUGUUCAUGAUGCGGUCUGGGUACUCCUCCCGGAUCUUGCUGAUGAGCAGCGUGCCCAUCCCGGACCCCGUGCCGCCCCCCAGCGAGUGGGUCAGCUGGAAGCCCUGCAGACAGUCACAGCUUUCCGACUCCUUCCUCACCACGUCCAGGACCGAGUCCACGAGUUCGGCUCCCUCUGUGUAGUGGCCCUUCGCCCAGUUGUUGCCCGCGCCACUCUGGCC